rnacentral:rRNA from 1 species
GCCGCGUGAGUGAUGAAGGCUUUCGGGUCGUAAAACUCUGUUGUUAGGGAAGAACAAGUGCUAGUUGAAUAAGCUGGCACCUUGACGGUACCUAACCAGAAAGCCACGGCUAACUACGUGCCAGCAGCCGCGGUAAUACGUAGGUGGCAAGCGUUAUCCGGAAUUAUUGGGCGUAAAGCGCGCGCAGGUGGUUUCUUAAGUCUGAUGUGAAAGCCCACGGCUCAACCGUGGAGGGUCAUUGGAAACUGGGAGACUUGAGUGCAGAAGAGGAAAGUGGAAUUCCAUGUGUAGCGGUGAAAUGCGUAGAGAUAUGGAGGAACACCAGUGGCGAAGGCGACUUUCUGGUCUGUAACUGACACUGAGGCGCGAAAGCGUGGGGAGCAAACAGGAUUAGAUACCCCAGUAGU